UGGUUUGUCAGGCAGAGAAAAUCAUUGAACAGUUUUUCACAAGAUAACAAUAUACAGAGAGCUGCUUGGCAGGAUGGAUUGAACGAUGGCAGGCUGGAAGGAGGGAGAUCUACUUGGAGUUUAUACUAAUAGUUCAGCCUUGCUAUCUAUACAUGCAUAUGACUGUGAGGUGGACCCACGAAACUGCUGCCUCUUUAAUGACACCUUAGAGAUAGUUACAGGAAGGAGGAUCUUGCUGGAGCACCAAUCAAUGACUGAUGGUACAUUUCAUUCAUGGUAUCAAGCCUCAAAUGUUAAGGAAGUCGAAGGAGGAGCAAAUUGGAAGCUAUGGAAAAGCAAGGGAGGAUUGAUAGGGCAGGGAGAGAUCUAGGCAGAUUAGUUUAAAUGCCAAGAUGAUGGGUUUGAUUCUGGAUAUCAAAUUUGAGGUGCUGGCCUGAUAUCCAUGUGUAGUUGAAAAAGCAACAGUGAGGCUCAGAAGAGAGACUGGGGUAGGGGCAGUAGGGGGUCAGAGAUAGAAACAAUAGUUGAAGCUGUGGGAAUGGGUUAGAUCCCCAAACAGAAGUGUUUAAAGGGAAAAGGGAAGAAAAGAGAAGGAAAGGAAAGGAAAGGAAAGGAAAGGAAAGGAAAGGAAAGGAAAGGAAAGGAAAGGAAAGGAAAGGAAAGGAAAGGAAAGCAAAGCAAAGCAAAGCAAAGCAAAGCAAAGCAAAGCAAAGCAAAGCAAAGCAAAGCAAAGCAAAGCAAAGCAAAGCAAAGCAAAGCAAAGCAAAGCAAAGCAAAGCAAAGCAAAGCAAAGGCAAGGAAAGAUGGCUGUGAUAUAUUAAAAAAAAAAGACAUGGAGUCAACUUUCACCCAAAUGAUGAUUUUAUAAUUUCACAAAGCAAAGGAAGAACCAGUGAUCUUCUGAACCAAAGGCAAGGCCUUCCAAUGCCAGGCAGGGUUAGAGACCUGGAGUCACCUUCCUCUGAACUAGCUGCCUUAGGACCCUAAAGAACUUCUUCUCUUUGUG
rnacentral:lncRNA from 1 species